AAACGACAUCCGGGACACCGGUCCAGAUACGGAAAAUACGGUACUGCCAGGAAGUUCAUACUUGUUGAAACUUUUCACGUAUAUUGUUCAGUAUAUUAGAAUAAAAGAUUUCAACAUUUUACUUCCUCCCAAGCAAGAUGCCCAAAACUUUUCUUGUUUUCAGUAUGUGAAAACAAAAUAAUACCGAAAAUGUUUCAUCCUGGGAGUUCAGCAUUUCAGUUAAUUUUUACUUGGUACGUUACAGGUAUUGGCGAAUAUAUUUUGGUGCAAGUCUUCAAUCCUGGACAAAACAUCUGCGACACUUUCAAUUAUUUGCCCAAAUUUCGUAAUAUCGCAAAUUUAGGAAACCUCUCCCUUACACCCCACCAAUCAAUGUUGAUUGCAUUCGUAUAGAAUACGGUUAAAACGUCCAACAUUGUUUUGGGGGGUGGAGGGAGGCAAAGGAUAAAUUAUUCCGGUCUAAUUGGUAAAAAAAGCCACAUAGGAAUGUAUUGAUAAAGUGUCGCAGAUGGUUUUGUCCAGGAUUGUAGCUAUAUCAAUUGCUUACAAUGUAUUACUUAUUCGAUAUAAGUCUGGUUUAAGAUUAUUGGCGAUUUUCACUACCAGUUCACGUGAUCUCAAUCACCUUGAGAAACGAACUGCAUAUAACAUGAUACUGUUAAUAUUAUUUUAUUUUUUUCUUUUGGCCCACCAAGUUCGGUGACCGAUCCAACAUAGAGAUCGUCCUGAAACAUACAGUUAAAUACUGUUGAUUGUCAUUCUUUCUAACAUAUCCAGUUUUUUAAAGUCACGUAACUUCUUAAUGUGUGUCACCCACUGAGACAUAAAUAAACCUCAAAGACAUGAAUAUAUAAACCUCAAUAGCUCCGUAAAAAACAAAUUACCUACUUCAAUUAAACUGCAUGUGUCAUGUUUACAUUUCAAUUUAAAUCUGAAAUCGGCAAUUUCCAUAGGAAACUGAGGAAACCAAUCAGGGAAGUAGCUAGGACCUUUUCGUGGGGCAGUGAGUGUAAAUGUGAAAGUUGAAUGAAUUAUUUUUAAUAUUAGAGCCUCGGAAAUGAUGAAAAUGCAAUUAAAAUGUGGCAUUCUUGGCAUGUGGUCAUUUUUAACUUCCGCUUUGCCUGUC